AUGGGUCCCUGGGACACCUGGGACACCCUUGAGACCCCCGGGGUCCCCGUGUCACCCCCCCGGCGUCCCCGUGUCACCUGGGUCACCCCCCUGGGGUCUUCCCCCAGGGAUCCCCUGUGUCCCCACUGCUCCCCCGUGUCCCCUCAUCCUGGGGCUCCUCUGUGUCCUCUCUGUGUGUCCCCUUCCCCAUGUGUCCCCUCUGUGUGUCCCCAGGGAUCCCCUGUGUCCCCACUGCUCCUUUGUGUCACCUCUGUGUCCCCAGGGAUCCUCCUGUGUCACCUCAUCCCCCCAGGGAUCCUCUGUGUCCCCUCUGUGUGUCCCCAGGGAUCCCCCGUGUCCCCACUGCUCCUCUGUGUCCCCUCUGUGUGUCCCCUUGUCCCCCUGGGGCUCCUCCUUGUCCCCCCCGGGGCUCUCCUGUGUCCCCAGGGCUCCUCUGUGUCCCCUCUAUGUGUCUCCUUCCCCACGUGUCCCCUCUGUGUCCCCUCGUCCCCCCCAAGGGGAUCUUCCUCUGUCCCCUCUGUGUGUCCCUUUGUCACCCCCAGGGCUUUUCCCUGUCCCCUUUUAGGACCCCAGGACAGUUCCUUGUCCCUCUGUGUCCCCCCCCCCCAGGGGCUCUUCCAUGUCCCUUCUUGUCCCCUGGGGGCUCUUCUGCAUGUCCCCUCCUGUCACCCCCUGUCCCCUCCGUGUCCCCAUCCCCUCUGUCCCCUCAGGGCUCCUCCUGUCCCCCCAAAUCCCCUGCCACCCCCUUGGGGACACCCCUCCUGUCCCUGUGUCCCCUCAGGGCUCCUGUCCCCCCAAAUCCUCUGCCACCCCUUCGGGGGUGUCCCCUCCUGUCUCUGUGUCCCCUCAGGGCUCCUCCUGUCCCCCCAAAUCCUCUGCCACCCCCUCGGGGGUGUCCCCUCCUGUCCCUGUGUCCCCUCAGGGCUCCUGUCCCCCCAAAUCCUCUGCCACCCCUUCGGGGGUGUCCCCUCCUGUCUCUGUGUCCCCUCAGGGCUCCUCCUGUCCCCCCAAAUCCCCUGCCACCCCCUUGGGGGUGUCCUCUCCUGUCCCUGUGUCCCCUCAGGGCUCCUCCUGUCCCCCCAAAUCCCCUGCCACCCCCUUGGGGACACCCCCUCCUGUCCCUUUGUCCCCUCAGGGCUCCUCCUG
rnacentral:lncRNA from 1 species